rnacentral:lncRNA from 1 species
UUCUUUAUUUUAUCAAUGUUGAGCUUCCCUGUAUGAUGAUUGUAAUGAGCCAGAUUGGCAAAGACUGUACAUUCUAAAUUUGGAAGAAUGCAAUGAUCAUUUUUUGUGCAGCUGUAAAUGCAACACAGAAUGAAACAAAAAAUAGAUACUCCUAUGCUCGAUCUUUCUACUGCAGUUAAAUACUUAUUAUUACACUUUUGUCAAUCUGUUUAGCCUGUUUUAUUAUCUUCUUCUGAAGAUUUGGAGAUUGUGGCAUGUGAGGAGGAUUUCUAGGGAGAUCGUCUAUGAAUAUAACAAGAGGCUGAGAUUUGACCUGCACUGUAUGCUAAAAGCGGGUUCAGGAGCUCCAAGCUAACAAUUGCCAGAGCUUUGAAAAGAUGUAAGGUUUCUACUUUCUAGCCUCUCUCACAAAAUUUGUUGUAGCCUGUUAUUUUGUAUGGCAGUCGAGUUUGUUGUAAGAAUGAGCUAUAGACCUAUUGUUUAAUUUUGUUUGACAUAGAAUAAUAUUUUGCUGUUCUAGGUGGAUUUUAGGAAUCCUUUUUUUAUGUGGGAGCGAUCUUUCUGAUUCAGUCUCUGUAGUGAUAUCAUAGAGGCACUACACUUUCGACAUCUGCUGAGAGAUAGUCAUUUAAACCUGCAAAUUUUUACAAUUAAAGUGAAGAUACUGUGAUGGUGUCAUUUUUUUGAAACGUCAAAGAGGAAUUUUAGGUUGGCAGAACCUUCUUUAACUUGCUUGUCAAUUCCUACUUCAUACAGUUCAGUUCCUUAACAGAUAUCUGAUAUCCUGAGUGAUGAUCCUCUAUGAUCAAUGCAGGAAGGCACCCCUUUCUUCUUCAGAUGCUAGCGUAUUUGGGAAGAAGCCAUUAGGGAACUUUUAUCAAAAGGUCUGUCACAUGCUAAAGAAGUAGCCUUCCUACAAAAAAGGUGUGGUAAUUGAUAUGUGGGUUAGGUAGAAGCAAUGUUUGAAUUUGAACUGUGCAUGAGUCUCAAGAUCUUUUUUGUUGUCAUAUUAGCAGAUCAGUUGUAUAGGUCACACGUAGAACUAAUGCCACCACCGCAAAAUAAAUGAAGAAAUAGAUUACUAACUUCACACCAACCAAGCACUAGAUAGUAUGGCCUUUUUCUAUUCACAUCACUUCUGUGUAAAUGCAUCCAAGGUUAUUUUGUCCUUGAUAUGUCUCCAACGUAUCUAUAACUAUUGAUUGUCCAUACCAUUAUAUUAUCAUUCUCGGAUGUUUUAUAAUAAUUUUAUAGUCAUUUUAUAUCAUUUUUUGGUACUAACCUAUUGACAUAGUGACAUGUGCUAGUUGUUGUUUUUUGCAUGUUUUUUUACAUCGCAUGUAAUCAAUAUCAAACGGAGUCCAAACGCAGUGAAACUUUCUGUGGAUUUUUUUGGACCAGAAGACAUCCAAUGGGCCAGAAGCGCCUGGGGCGUGCUCCGAGGGGAGCACAACCCACCAGGGCGUGCCUGGAGGCCCAGGCGCUCCCUGGUGGGUUGUGCCCACCUCGGGUGCCCCCGGACCGCCUCUUUACUCUAUAAAUACCCUAAUAUUCCAGAAACCCUAGGGGAGUCGACGAAAAUCAAUUCCAGCCGCGGCAAGUUCCAGAAACACCAGAUCCAAUCUAGACACCAUCAAGAAGAGGUUCAUCAUGUCCAUUGGUGCCUCUCCGAUGAUGCAUGAGUAGUCUUUUGUAGACCUUCGGGUCCGUAGUUAGUAGCUAGAUGGCUUCCUCUCUCUCGAUUGAUUCUCAAUACAAUGGUCUCUUGGAGAUCCAUAUGAUGUAAUUCUUUUGCGGUGUGUUUGUAGGGAUCCGAUGAACUUUGAGUUUAUGAUCAGAUCUAUCUCUUUUUAUCCAUGAAAGUUAUUUGAGUCUUAUGUGAUCUCUUAUAUGCAUGAUUGCUUAUAGCCUCAUAUUUCUUCUCCGAUAUUUGGGUUUUGUUUGGCCAACUUGAUCUAUUUAUCUUGCAAUGGGAAGAGGUGCUUUGUGAUGGGUUCGAUCUUACGGUGCUUGAUCCAGUGACAGAAGUGGAACUGACACGUAUGUAUCGUUGCCAUUAAGGAUAACAAGAUGGGGACUAUUUCUACAUAAAUAGAUCUUGUCUACAUCGUGUCAUUGUUCUUGUUGCAUUACUCCAUUUCUCCAUGAACUUAAUACACUAGAUUCAUGCUAGAUAGCGGUCGAUGUGUGGAGUAAUAGUAGUAGAUGCAGGCAAGAGUCGGUCUAGUAAUCUUGGACAUGAUGCCUAUAUAAUGAUCAUUGCCUGGAUAUCGUCAUGAUUAUUUGAAGUUCUAUCAAUUGCCAACAGUAAUUUGUUUACCCAUCGUUUGCUAUUUUUCUCGAGAGAAGCUACUAGUGAAAACUAGGGCACCUGGGUCUCUUCUUUAAUAUAUUUGCCUUUGCGAUCUAUUUUCCUUUGAUUUUAUUUUCAGAUCCAUUAAACCAAAAAUACCUUGCUGCAAUUUAUUUUAUUCGAGAUCUAUUUAUCCCAUCUACCAUAUUUUUAUCACGUCUGUUUGCCAAUUUCUGGCGCCGUUACCUGAAAGGGAUUGACAACCCCUUUAACAUGUCGGGUUGUGAGUAUUUGUUAUUUGUGUGCAGGUGCUGCUUACGUAGUGUUGCUUGGUUCUCCUACUGGUUCAAUAACCUUGGUAUCAUCACUGAGGGAAAUACCUACCGUCGCUGUGUUGCAUCAUCCCUUCCUCUUUGCGGAAAUACCGACGUAGUUCUAGCAGACAUCAAAAGGAAUUUCUGGCACCAUUGCCGGGGAGCCAUCAUCAGCAUCUACUAGGUUCCUAAUCACCAAUCUCAUCUCCUCGCAAUUUAUAUUAUUUUCCAUUUGCCUCUCGUUUUCCUCUCCCCCACUUCACAAAAAUUUAUCGUUUUAUUCGCCCUAUUUUUCAUUCGCCAUUUUUUUGCCGGAUCUGUUUUUGAGUGCAAUCUUGUUUCGUAGUCACAAUGACUCAAGAGAACAUGAAGUUAUGUGAUUUCUCCAAUACCAACAAUAAUUAUUUUAUUGGCACUCUGAUUGCUCCUCCUACCACUAGUGCAGAGUCUUGUGAUAUUAAUAUCGCUGUGCUAAAUCUUGUUAUGAAAGAUCAAUUUUCCGGUACUCCUAAUGAGAACGCCACAUCCCAUCUUAACACAUUCGUGGAAUUAUGCGAUAUGCAAAAUAAAAAAUAUGUGGACAAUGAUGUUGUAAAGUUCAAAUUAUUUCCGUUUUCUUUGCGAGAUCAUGCAAAAAAUUGGUUUUCUUCGUUGCCUCUCCGUAGUAUCGAUUCUUGGAAUAAGUGCAAAGAUGCUUUCAUUACUAAGUAUUUUCCGCCCGCAAAAAUUAUUUCCCUUAGAACCCAGAUCAUGAAUUUCAAGCAACUUGAACAUGAGCAUGUUGCACAAUCUUGGGAAAGGAUGAAAAUAAUGUGAGGAAUUGCCCAAUUCAUGGGUUAAAUCUUUGGAUGAUCAUACAAAUUUUUUAUGCGGGGUUGAAUUUUGUUUCUCGUAAUCUUUUAGAUUCCACGGCGGGUGGUACUUUUUUAGAAAUUACUUUGGGUGAAGCCACCAAAUUGCUUGAUAAUAUCAUGACAAAUUAUUCACAAUGGCAUACCGAAAGAGCUCCUACUAGUAAAAAUGUGAAUUCGGUUGAAGAAGUUUCUUAUUUGAGUGAAAAGUUGAUGUUCUUAUGAAAUUGGUUGCUAGUAAAAGUACUCCUAUUGAUUUUAAUGAUGUGCCUUUGUCUACCUUGAUUAAGCAAAAUAGUGAUGACGUAGAUGUGAAUUUUAUCUCACGAAACAAUUUCAAUAACAAUGCUUAUAGAGGUAAUUUUAAUCCUAGGCCUUUUCCUAGUAAUUCCUUUAAUAAUUAUGGUAAGUCCUAUGGAAAUCCUUCUUAUAAUAAUAAUAGGAACACCUCUGAUCUUGAGAAUAAUAUUAAAAAAUUUAUCAACACUCAAAAGGUUUUCAAUACUACAAUGGAAGAAAAGUUGAAUAAGAUUCAUGAUUUGUCUAGAAGUGUUGAUACAAUUUGUCAUGAUGUAGAAAAUCUGAAGAUGCAAAUUUUUGUGCCUAAGGUUGAGGAAUCAAUUAAAGCUCUUUAUGUUUCUAUGGAUGAACGUAAGAAAAGAACUGCUAUGCUUAGAGCUAGAAGAGAAUUUUUAGAAAAGGCGUUUUCUAGUGAUUACUUUCCUAAAAGUUAUGAAGAUCUUAAGAUGAUUGGUGUUUCUUCUAUUGAUUCCUUGUUUAGUAAAAUUAAGAUUGAUGAGUGACUGUAGAAGAGUGAACUUUAGCUAGAAGGCGUCCCGAUAAUUCAGAGGGUGAAAAUAUUGUUGAGAAAAUUGAUAAAAGUGGGUUUGAAGAGGUCAAAACUUUAACUAGUGAUGUACCCACUCUUUUGGAUUACAAAGACUUUAAUUAUGAUAGUUGCUCUUUGAUUGAUUGUAUUUCUUUGUUGCAAUCUACGAUUAAUUCACUCGAUGCUUAUGAACAAAAUAAAGCUUUUACUAAACAUAUUGUUGAUGCUUUGAUGAAAUCUUUGGAAGAAAAUUUGGAAUUAGAAGUUUCAAUUCCUAGAAAAUUACAUGAUGAGUGGGAACCUACUAUCAAAGUCAAGAUUAAAAAUUAUGAAUGUUUUGCUUUAUGUGACUUGGGGGUGGUAGUGUUCCUACAAUUCUGAAAUCUUUAUGUGAUGUGUGUGGUCUUACCGUUAUGUUCUUUAAAUUUGCACCUCGCGGAUUCAAAUAUUAAAAAACCUAUGGGAAGAAUUAAUGUUGUUCUUAUUCUUGCAAAAAGGAAUUACGUGCCCAUAGAUUUUAUUGGUCUUGAUAUUGAUUGCAACCCGUCUUGUUUAAUUAUUCUUGGUAGACCAUUUUUACGCACUCCCGAUGCUGUGAUUGAUAUGAAAGAUGGUAAUAUUAGGUUCCAAUUUCCACUAAGGAAGGGUAUGGAACACUUUCCUAGAGGAAAAAUUGGUCCACCAUAUGAAUCAAUCAUGAGGGCAUCUUAUGGAUCUAGAAACAAAGAUGACAAAACUUAGAUCUUUGCUUUAUGCCUAGCUGGGGGCGUGAAACAAUAUCACUUGUUGGGAGGCAACCCAAUGAAUACAAUUUAUUUUUGUCUUUUGCUUCCUGUUCUUGAGUGUUUGCACAAUUAUGCUACUGUUAUGAUUGUGUUUUUUGUGUUUUAGUUUAGUGUUUGUGCCAAGUAAAGCCUUUAGGAUCCUCUUGGGUGAUAGGUGAUUUGAUCUUGCUGAAAAACAGAAAAUUUCACACUAACAAAAAUAAUUUUCAUUAUUAAAAUAGGCGCGAUAAAAUACCAAUUAUUUUUUCAGAGGAUUCAUAUACAAAUUUGUCAGAUCUUCCUAAUUUUUUGGAAUUUUGGAGUUACAGAAGUAUUCGAAAUAGCCAGAUUGCUAGAGACUGUUCUGUUUUUGACAGGUUCUGUUUUCUUUGCGUUGUGUGCUUGUUUUGAUGAUUCCAUGGUUUUGUUUAAAUAGUUUUUGCCAUAGAAAAGUUGGAAUACAGUAGAUAUAAUGAAAUAAUAAAAUAUGAAUUAGUUUGCAUCAACACUUAUAGUAUUGAUUUGUUUUCUCAUACUAACGGAUCUCAUGAUGGUUUUGUUGAGUUUUGUGUGAUUGAAGUUUUCCAGUUUUGGGUGAUGUUAUGAUGGAUGAAGGAAUACGGAGUAAGAAGAGUCUAAGCUUGGGCAUGCCCAUGGCAUCCCAGGCUAUUACCCAAAGAGAAGCAAGCAACUAAGCACGGGGAUGCCCCGAGUGGCAUCCCUUCUUUCCUCUAACGACCAUUGGUAUUUUACUUGAAGCUAUAUUUUUAUUCGUCACAUACUAUGAGUUUUGCUUGGAGCGUCUUGUAUGUUAUGAGUCUUUGCUUGUUUUGCUUUGUGUUUUAAGUCUUGAAUCCUUGUUGGACACACCUAUUUGAGAGAGCCAAAAUUAUGCCAUGACUUGUUAGAAUUUCUCUCUAUGCUUCACUUAAAUCUUUAUGAGCUAUGGAAUUGCUCUAGUGCUUCACUUAUAUCUUUUUGAGCAUGGUGUGCUUUAAUAUUUUUUAAGAAAUUCUCUCAUGCUUCACUUAAAUUAUUUUGAGAUAAAGAAAUAUUAUGCUCAUGAUCUUCACUUAUAUUUGUUUGAACUUAUCAAAAGCAACACAUGAAAAUUAGUUCCAAAGUGAUAGAUAUCCAAGAAGGAUAUAAUAAAAACUUUCAUGAAGAUCAUUAGACAAAAUAAACUUGAUUCCUUGUAAUAGUUUUGAGAUAUGAUGAUGUUAUAUGUGAGUCAUGUUGAUGAGUAAUUAUGCUUUAGUAAGAAUAUUGGUGUUAAGGUUUGUGAUUUCCUAUGCAAGCACGAAAGUCAAUAGUUAUGCAAUGAAAUUACACCCUACUUGUGGUGCAUUAUUCGGUGUUAAUUAUGCUCAAUGCUCGCUUAUGAGAUUAUUCGUUUCUUGGUUGGCCGCUUCUCAAUCUUUUGCUAGCCUUCAUUUUGCACUAAGUAUGAUCACUACUUGUGCAUCCAAAAUCCUUUAAACCGGUUUUGCCACAUGAAUCCACCAUACCUACCUAUAUGGGGUAUUCUUUUGCCAUUCUAAGCAAAUUUGUAUGUGCCAUCUCUAAUUUUCAAAAUAAAUUUCUCUUUUGUGUGCUCGUACCGCUCAUGAAUCGGUAGGGGGUGGCUAAUAUAUUUCCAUGCUAGAUAUGUUAUUUUGACGAUGAGUGUUUACUCACUUGUCAUUGCACGAGAGUAAGGCAAAGGUAUUAGGGAUGCCUAGUCCCGAAAUGAAAAAUGAAUUUACUUUAUGUUCUCAAAUAAUAAAUUCCUUGGAAAGUGUUGGUAUGGAAGGCACCCAAGGAUACGACUAGCCAUGGAAAGUGAAAGUAUGCUGGAAAAAUGAAUAAACAUUAAUUUCUAUUUGGGAACCGCCUAUGAUAUAUCUAGCAUGGAAAGUAUUGGGAACUUCUCGAUCGUUCUCGUUGACAGGAAAAGCAUGCCUCCCAAAAUGUUUUUAUCUCUAUGUUGUUCACUUUGAGCUCUGGCACCUCUACAAAUCCCUACUUCCCUCCGUGAAGGGCCUUUCUUUUACUUUAUGCAACUUUUAUUUUUAAUUUGAGUCUCCAUCUUCUCUUAUAAAGCACCAACUAGGGGGCACCAUGAUCGCACUUGAGCAUUGGGUGUAGUUAAUAUGCGAGUAUGUUUCAUGAAUGGAUCAAUGAUUGAGCAUGAUGGGCUAGGGAUAACUUACUUUAGCAUUGAUAUUUUGAAAGACAUGGUUGCUUGUUGAUAUGCUUGAGUAUUUAAGUCUCAUGUCAAAACUAGAUUAUUGCUUUGAACCAUAUAAAAGUCCAAAUGUCCAUGCUAUAAACAAAAGAUUAUGAGAUAACAUGUUAGGCAGCAUUCCACAUCAAAAAUUCUGUUUUUAUCAUUUACCUACUCGAGGACGAGCAUGAAUUAAGCUUGGGGAUGCUGGUACGUCUCCAACGUAUCUAUAAUUUUUGAUUGUUCCAUGCUGUUAUAUUAUCAUUCUUGGAUGUUUUAUAAUCAUUUUAUAUCAUUUUUGGUACUAACUUAUUGACAUAGUGCCAAGUGCCAAUUGCUGUUUUUUGCAUGCUUCUGACAUCGCAGGUAAUCAAUAUCAAACCGAGUCCAAAUGCAGUG